GGGACGCGCGUGAUAGUUUGUUUUUAACCUAUAAAAAUGUUUAAUAUAAAGCAGAGCGCGCGGAGCGAGCAUUGAUCUUGCUAGUUUAAAAAAAGCUCUUAUAACGGUUAUCAUACAGUUAUUUAAAUAUUAAUCAUACUUUGAAACAGUGAAUACGAUUUUUUAUGUGCGUUGAUCAGUGAUAGACUUGCUACAGUAAAUAAUAAUAAUCGCGUAAGCCGAUUUUGAAACGUGAUCAAUUUUUAAAUUUUUACAAUAAUUCGCGAAAGAAGAGCAUAAAAGAAUAUUUUGGAUGUAAAAAAUGACAGUAAACGAACUAUGACUAAGUUCGCAAAUGUAAUAGAUUAUAUUUGCGGUUACAACAACAAAAUGAAUUUCCAAAAUCAAAAUUCUACGUGAUUGUUUUUCAAUUCCCCGUCAACAAAAUUAUAAAAAAAAUGAAUCAAGCAAUCUGCUAUGUGUGUGGCGGCUGCCCAAAUAUCGUCUACUGUACACAGGAAAAACCUUGUCCACCGAAACCGAAGUGUCCUCCAGUUUCGCCGCGCAACGUGCUCGUCGUGCAAGGCGUUAAAUAUGGACCGGAUUUCGUGCCUUGCUGUAUCAAAAAAUACGGUUAUCCUUGCGGUGCUCACGAAAAAUGCCGAAGAUAAAUUCUACCGAGUGAAAAAAAAAUGUUUCCAUGCCAGAACUUUUGAAAAGUGAAAAUACACGACUUGGAAUGCAAAACUUUAUAAAAUGCGUAACUACACUCUUUAUACAUAUGAAUGAUAAUAAUUCGCUUACGCAACGCUAACGCAUACAACAAAUUGUUUCUCUCUUACUUUUAACCGUAUUCUGAAAUUAAAUCGAGUAUUACAUCAGCCAG